rnacentral:sRNA from 1 species
UGAGAGUCCAGUGACUCGGCAGGAGAAGAUGGCGACCGUGUGGGAUGAGGCCGAGCAAGAUGGAAUUGGGGAGGAGGUGCUCAAGAUGUCCACGGAGGAGAUCAUCCAGCGCACACGGCUGCUGGACAGUGAGAUCAAGAUCAUGAAGAGUGAAGUGUUGAGAGUCACCCAUGAGCUCCAAGCCAUGAAGGACAAGAUAAAAGAGAACAGUGAGAAAAUCAAAGUGAACAAGACCCUGCCGUACCUUGUCUCCAACGUCAUCGAGCUCCUGGAUGUUGAUCCUAAUGACCAAGAGGAGGAUGGUGCCAAUAUUGACCUGGACUCCCAGAGGAAGGGCAAGUGUGCUGUGAUCAAAACCUCUACACGACAGACGUACUUCCUUCCUGUGAUUGGGUUGGUGGAUGCUGAAAAGCUAAAGCCAGGAGACCUGGUGGUGAGUGGGGCCUGAGCCCAGGCAGUGCUUUUCUGGUGACUAGCUGAGCCCCUGCACCCGCCCCA